AUUUCUUUCUUCAAAACAGGUGGUACUUCCUUGCUGUUUUUUGUGCGUCAGUUGAAAUUGCUCUUUCAGUUAGAUUUGAGGAAUUUGAAGAAGAUACCUGAAGCGGAAUACAGAGAAAUAGGGAGAAAACUGCAGAUGGGAAGGAGACAGCUGAGGAAGCUGAUGGUGAUCCCUGCACGACAGAGAUGAGAAGGCAAAUGCAGUUUCCUCUGACCAGAAAAAGAAAAUGUAACUGCUGCCUGGAACGUUAGGGAGCAGUUACUCUGUAGCACUGGUAAGUGACUCAUGCUGCCCAAAUAAUACUGUUUUUG
rnacentral:lncRNA from 1 species